rnacentral:lncRNA from 1 species
AUCAUCAUGGCUAAGUUUGCUUCCAUCAUCACCCUUAUCUUCGCUGCUCUUGUGCUCUUUGCUGCUUUUGGUGAGUAAUUAAUCAUCUUAUCAUAUCAAUGAAAAAUGUGUUUUUAGAUGAUAUUUUCAUAUAUUUCGAUAACUAACCAUGAGAAAUAAAUACAUGCAUCUGUAGAAGCACCGGCAAUGGUGGAAGCACAGAAGUUGUGCGAGAGGUCAAGUGGGACUUGGUCCGGAGUCUGCGGAAACAACAACGCUUGCAAGAAUCAGUGCAUUAACCUUGAGGGAGCAAAACAUGGAUCUUGCAAUUAUCGAUUCCCAUACCACAGAUGUAUCUGUUACUUCCCAUGUUAAUCAUAUCAACCAAAAAGUCCGUGGUGCUUAAACGUGUGUAUUUUACAUAUAUAAAAUAAGUCUGUGUCACUUAAGAGUGACUUGAUGACAUAUACAUGUGUUUAUGUUUUAAUGUUUGGUUUGGUUUGACUUUGUUGUUAUAAUGAUAUAAAUAUAAUUUAUGUACGACUGUUUCUUUCUUGUUAAUAUUUGUCUACAACAACCAACAGAACGACUGAUUUUUUUUAUUUUUCAAAAACAUAAAGAAUAAAAGUACACACGACCAUUAAUAUGACCGAAUUAGAAUAUGUCAAAAAAAGAAAGAAAUCACCAUUAGAUGAGACAACCAAAUUGAUGCAUGGUGGAGUAAUGAAAUGAUAAUUAAUUGAGAUCGUUGAAUGACGGUAAAAGAAGUUCCAAUAUUUUUUCCUUAAAACAAUAACUAAUAGCAAUAAUGAAUGGAAAAAAUACAUGUUUGGGGUGAAACAGGAACAAAUAAUCAAACACAAUAUAUAGCAUUUUGCUUAUGUACCCUAUUCAAUUUAAAAUUUAAAAUCAUGGAUUUUAAAAACUAAAUCCAAAACUCUAAAAAUUAUAUCUAACCCAAACAAAAAAAGGUUCUAAACCCUGCAAUGUAUGCAUUUCCUGAAUUUAAAAGAUUAGACUAUAUUUUUAAAAUUUUAAAAAUCUUGAUCUCUUAUCAUCUUUCGGUAAUUUAUUUAUGAUUACCAUUACGACGAGCAAUUAAAGGUGGUUUAGGUAUUUGAUUCCCGUUUCGCUUUUUCAGUACGUACGUAUAUUCCCAUGCAUUACGUUCAAGGCCAUGACUAAAUAAAGAAUAUUUUGUUUUGUUUAUCCAUACCCGACUAAGCUAAUUUCCCAGACCCUGCCUUCUCCGACGCCGAUCGUCUCCUUCUGUUAGUAGAGAACCAUUGGAGAAUCAUCUAGUUUACGGGUUAUAUGUGUUUCCAGGUGAAUUCUAAUGGCAAAAAUCUGGUGAGAACGGUUUCUUGUUCUGCAAGCUUGGCGUAAUGAUGCUGCCCUUGAGAUCAGCCUUUUACCAUAUCAAUAGACAGUUACCCUAACUGUGAAAAUAUCUGACUUAUCAAAAUACUCGUGUAACUACGGCUCGGUUAAGAUCUUAUUUUCUUGAGCACAUCAGAUUAGCAGCCGCCUAUGUAGAUGAUGUAUCAUAUAUAUUAGCUCAAAGCCAAAACAGCCACUUAGAUAUUAUCAGAGAAAUAUAUGUGGUGGAGAAACCAGCCUUCAACUAUGAAUAAGUCAAGAUCUUAUCAGUUAGUCAGCUACUAGCAGACACUUAGUGAUUAAUUUGUGGGGUUACGAUCCGUGAUUAUAAGAUGCACAAAUAGAAGACUAAUCCACCUUCACUUCCCUAUAAAUAGAGGCUGUUCUAAACUUUAUUUCUACACACAACACAAUACAUACAUACAUCGAAAACAAAGUAGUACCAAUCAUCAUGGCUAAGUUUGCUUCCAUCAUCACCCUUGUUUUCGCUGCUCUUGUUCUCUUUGCUGCUUUUGGUGAGUAAUCAUCUUAUCAUAUAUGAAAUAGUGUUAUAAAUCUUGUUUCAUUUAUUUUGAUAGUUAACCAUGAGAUAUGUAUACAUAUGCAGAAGCACCAUCGAUGGUGGAAGCACAGAAGUUGUGCGAGAGGUCAAGUGGGACAUGGUCCGGAGUUUGUGGAAACAAUAACGCAUGCAAGAAUCAGUGCAUUAACCUUGAGGGAGCAAAACAUGGAUCUUGCAACUAUCGAUUCCCAUACCACAGAUGUAUCUGUUACUUCCCAUGUUAAUCAACCAAACAUCUUUGGUGGUUAAUCACGUGUGUAUUUUACAUAAAAUAAGUCUGUGUUACUCUAUGAGUAACUUUAUGACAUGCAUGUUUAUGUUUUAAUGUUUGGUUGGACUUUGUUGUUAUAAUUCAUGUACCACCUAAGACUGCAUGCAGUUUCUUGUUUGGUUGGACUUUGUUGUUAUAAUUUAUGUACGACCUUUUUAAGACUAUAUUUUCUUGUUCGUAUUUGUCAGCAGCAGCCGUCACCCAACAGGACCACUCAUUUUUAUGUAUCGAAAUCGAAGUCAUAAAACUAAAGAACAUAAAGAAAAAAAAAGACACACGACCGUUAAAGACCGAAUAAGAAUAUGUCAAAAGAAAAAAAAAAUCAUCAUUCAUAGAAAAAAAUUUAUAUUCUAGGACGUUCACGUUAUAUCACCAUAGCCACGUCAAAACCCCAAUUUAAUAGUUUGAUCAGACAAUUAAUAGAGAGGGUUUUAUGACGGUACGUGGCAAGAGUUAGACAUCCAUUAUUUUUUGGAUUAAUAAGAAUUAUAGUACAUUUUCAAAAAAUAAUUGGGAAAAUAGUACAUAUAUUAUUUAUAAUUAUAAAAAUAGUCAUAUGGACCCACAAUAUGAGAUAGAAGAAAACAUGAGAUAGGAAAAACGAGAGAAAAUAAAAUGACAUGAGGGGCAAUUUUUUUUCUCUGGAUUUUGUUUUUUUUUUUCUUUUUUUUUUCUUUUUUUCUCUUACUUUUAUCACCCCAAAAUUUUUAUAACUAACAUACUAAUUUUUGUAAAAAUAAUAUCAAUAAUAUUUUUAACACAUAAAAAUGUUUUUUUCUCUAUAAUUUGAUAUGCCUUUUGCUAAUAAAUUUUAAAUUUUUUUAUAUAUAAAUAUUUAUUUGUAUAGUUUAGCAUAUGUACAAAUGUUUUUUUUACAAUAGUAUGUGUACAGACGUAUGUACAAAAAUAUCCAUACAUAAAUAUGUACAAACAUAUCCGUACAACUUAUUAAGUGUACGAAUAUAUGUAAAAAUUACUCAUUUUUAUCCGUACAGCUAGUAUAGUAUACCAAAAUAUGCAUAUUUAUAUAUAUUUGUACACUAAUAUGCUGUACGGAUGAUAUUGUGUAAUAAUAUUAUUAUUGUACAAAAACAUAAUUUUGUACGUAUGUACAAUAAAUAUGAUGUACGAAUUAUAUUAUAUAAUUAUUUUAAUGGCAGACUCGUAAAUACUAUGUUUUCUGAGUGUUUAAAUGUCCAUAAAAUAGUAGCAAAUAGUGAUAAUGUACUAGUUUCCUAAUUGUAAAUAGUGUUUGUACUAGUUUUAUAAUUAUUUUUUAAAAAUGUAAUACUUCUCCAACACACCCUUAUUUUUUUAAAAUUAUAUUUUAUUGUAGUUUCUAAUAUUGGGUAGAGAUUUUCAUAGUCUCUCAGUUAUAUUAUUUUAAUAGAUAUAUAAUUUACUUUUUACUAUUUAUUUAAAUUUUAAAUAACAAGAAAAGAUUAAAACCGAUCACAUGAUCUCUCGAAAAGUCUCAUUUGAGAAGUGGUUCUCAUAUCUCUUUUCAAUUUUUUGUUUUAUAUUGUUAAAAAAAAUGGGUGAAGCAAUUAAGAACAUAUAAACAAAAUUAUACUCAGACUCAAACGGAGGUGUCUAAAUUGCUAUAGAGAAUACUGGACGAGCUUUUACAUACAGCAGCCAUAUAUCGUUCUUUUACUUACUUCUUUUAUUUUUUGGUAUUCAUAUUUGUUUGUAUUUGGACUAACUUGUGCAUAUCAAACUAACGUAACGCACAAUAUAUAGCAUUUUGCUUAGGUACCCUGAAUUCAAAACUAAAAACAUGAAUCCUAAACUCUAAGAAAGUUACAUCUAAUCUAAAAAAGAGUUCUAAAUACAACAAAAAGAUGUAUUUUCUGAAUUUUAAAAAAUGGAUCGCUUAUAAUAUUUCCGUAAUUCCUUUGUGCUUUUAUUUUCCUUUGUAACGAAUUUACAGAUUAUACCUUAAGCUCUAUAUCCUCUAAUUUUUGAUGAAAUUCACCGUUAUGAUGAUAGUUAGAAAAUCUACCGCCGAUGAGAGCAACGCACUGAUGAAUCACAUAAUUUACGGUUAAAGGUGUCUCCCGGUGAAAUCUAAUGGCAAAAAAACUAAUAAGAACGGUUUCUUUGUUCUGCAAAUUAACUUGGCGGAACGAUGCUACGUACUCUUGAGAUCAACCAAACAAUAUGUUGAUACAUAUACACUUGCCUAACUGUCAAAAUAUCUGACAUGACAUAUAUCAAAGUACUCUUGUAACUACCGCUUGGUUAACAUCUUAUUUUCUUGAGUCUUGACCACAUCAGAUUAUGCCGCCUAUGUAUAAAUCAUUUGCUCAAAGCCAAAGCAGCCUACUUAGAUAUUAUCAGAAAAAAUAUGUGGUGGAGAAUAACCAGCAGCCAUCAACUAUGAAUAAGUCAAGUUCUUAUCUGUUAAUAUUAGCACUAGAAGACGCUUAGUGUUUAAUUUGUGGGGUUACGAUCUGUAGUUAUAGGAUGCACACAUAUACGACUAACUCACCAUCAUUUCAUUAUAAAUAGACUCUGAUCUUAAGCUUAAUUAGUUCAUCACACAACACAUCAAUACAUACAUACAUUGAAAACAACACAGUUUAAUAAUCAUCAUGGCUAAGUUUGCUUCCAUCAUCCCCCUUAUCUUCGCUGCUCUUGUUCUCUUUGCUGCUUUUGGUGAGUAAUCAUCUUUUUUUUUUAAUGGAAUUAUGGAAAUAAUGUUUUAAAUGUUAUUUUGAUAACUAACCAUGAGAAAUAUAUACACGUAUAUGCAGAAGCACCAUCGAUGGUGGAAGCACAGAAGUUGUGCGAGAGGUCAAGUGGGACUUGGUCCGGAGUCUGUGGAAACAAUAACGCAUGCAAGAAUCAGUGCAUUAACCUUGAGGGAGCAAAACAUGGAUCUUGCAACUAUCGAUUCCCAUACCACAGAUGUAUCUGUUACUUCCCAUGUUAAUCAACCAAAAAUCUUUGGUGGCUAAACGUGUGUGUAUUUUACAUAAAAUAAGUCUGUGUUACUCUCUAUGAGUAACUUUAUGACAUGCAUGUUUAUGUUUUAAUGUUUGGUUGGACUUUGUUGUUACAAUUUAUGUACGACGUUAUAAUUAAGACUCUGUUUCUUCUUGUUCGUAUUAGACCAGUAUUAAUUUGAUUACAGCAGCUGACACCCAACAGGACCACUAAUUUUCAUGUAUCGAAAACAUAAAGAACAGAAUUUUAAAAAAAAAACACACGACCGACCGUUACCUGACCGAAUUAGGAUGUGUCAAGAAAAAAAGAAAUUCCCAUUGAUAAAACAAAAUAAAACUUCUAUUCUAGGACGUUCACUUUAUUUCACUAUAGCCAAGUGAAAACCCCAAUUUAAUAGUUUAAUCAGACUACCAAAUUCAUGAAUUGUCGAGUAGUGAAAUGUUAAUUAAUUGAGAUUGUUGAUUUUUAUUUUAUUUUUUUGUCGUACGUAGUUUCUGAUAUUGUAUAGUAAACAAUAAUAGCAAUAAUGAAUAGAAGAAAAAAAUGAUUGGGGGUGUUACAAAUAAGAACAUCUGAAUAUAUAAACAAAAUUAUACUCUUAAGCGGAGGUGUCGGUAACGCUAUAGAAAACGGGACGAGCUUUUCCUUUUACUUCCUUCUUUUACUACGUACUGCUGUUUUUACGUAUUCAAUUUUUUUGUUUUUUUGUCUGUAUUUGGACUAACUUGUUCAUCAAAAUAACGCACAAUAUAUAUAUAGCAUCUUGCUUACGUACCUUGAAUUCAAAAUUAAAAACAUGAACCUUAAACUCUCUAAAUGUAAUCUAAUCUAAGAAUAGUUCGAAACCAUACAAAAAAAAAUACGAUUUUCCUCAAUUUAAAAGAAUUCAAUCAUUAUUUUUAGUUCAAAAACAAAAUUUGAUCGCUUAUAUAAUCUAAUUUCGUAAUUACUUUAUAAACUUUUUUCUUAGUUAGUUGGUAUUUUCAGUUAUUUUGCCAAUUUCUUUGUUAACGAAUUUACGAAUCAUACCUUAAGCUCUAUAUUCACCAAUUUUGUAUGAAAUUCACCGUUACCUUCUUCUGAUAGUUAGAAAAACUACCGCCGGCGAGAGCAGCGUAAUGGAUCACAUAAUUUACGGUUAAAGGUGUUUCCUGGUGUGUUUUAACUUGCGAAAAAUCUAGCGAGAAGAGUUUCUUUUGUUCUGCAAACUUGGCAAAACGAUGUUACUCUAGAGAUCAACCAAAACAUAUCUUGAUAUACACUUUUGGUUCAAAGGAGCAGUUCCAAAACAUGCAUUUAUGAUAUGGUUUACACAUCUAAUUAUCGGCUUCCCACUAAAACAAGGCUCAAAAGUCUGGGACUGCAAAUUGAGCAAACUAGUUGCUGCCUUUGUGGUUUGUUCCCUGAAACUUGAGAGUUGAGACCAUAUGUUCCCUUCAUUGUGAAGUUAGCGAUGGCCUCUUGUCAAAACCACCAACAAAGAUUUGGAUACAACUCGUUUAUUUUCCACACUUGGAGUGCGUUCUCAGCUUGGUUAGACUUUAAAGACUCAACAUCACCUCUUUUUUUUUUGGCAGGAAACAAUUAAUCUUUUGUAACUUUUACAAACUUUUUCAUCUAAUGAAAAUUCACAUUUCUGUUAAAGGAAAAAAAAAAACUGUGAAAAUAUCUGACACAUCAAAAUAAUCGUGUAAAUUAACUACCGCUUGGUUAUAUUACGAUCUUAUUUUCUUGAGUCUUGACCACAUCAGAUUAAGCAGCCGCCUAUGUAAACGAUGUAUGAUUAGCUCAAAACCAAAGCAGCCACCAAGAUAUUAUUAUUAGAGAAAAAUAUGUGGUGGAGAAUAACCAGCCAUCAACUAUGAAAAAGUCAAGUUUUUAUCAUGCUAAUACCAAUCAGCUGCUAGAAGACACUUAGUGUUUAAUUUGUGGGGUUACGAAACGUGAUUAUACGAUGCCCAAAUAGAUCGACUAAUUAACUCACCAUCGUUUCACUAUAAAUAGAAGUUGAUCUUUAGCUUAUUUCAUCACACAACACAUACAUACACAUACAUUGAAAACAAGAUAGUAAAAAUCAACAUGGCUAAGUUUGCUUCCAUUAUCACCCUUCUCUUCGCUGCUCUUGUUCUCUUUGCUGCUUUUGGUGAGUAAUCAUCUUAUCAUAUCAAUGAAAAUGUGUGUUUAAAUGUUAUUUUCAUUUAUUUGGAUAACUAACCAUGAGAAAUAUAUGCAUGCAUGAUGCAUCUGUAGAAGCACCGGCAAUGGUAAACGCACAGAAGUUGUGCGAGAGGUCAAGUGGGACUUGGUCCGGAGUCUGCGGAAACAACAACGCUUGCAAGAAUCAGUGCAUUAACCUUGAGGGAGCAAAACAUGGAUCUUGCAAUUAUCGAUUCCCAUACCACAGAUGUAUCUGUUACUUCCCAUGUUAAUCAACCAAACAUCUUCGGUGGUUAAACGUGUGUGCAUUUUACAUAAAAUAAGUCUACGUCACUUUACGAGUGACUCUUAUGAGUAUGACAUGCAUCUUUCUGUUUUAAUGUUCGGUGGUG